GAGGUUAAGCGACUAAGCGUACACGGUGGAUGCCUAGGCAGUCAGAGGCGAUGAAGGGCGUGCUAAUCUGCGAAAAGCGUCGGUAAGGUGAUAUGAACCGUUACAACCGACGAUACCCGAAUGGGGAAACCCAGUGCAAUUCGUUGCACUAUUGCAUGGUGAAUACAUAGCCAUGCAAGGCGAACCGGGGGAACUGAAACAUCUAAGUACCCGAGGAAAAGAAAUCAACCGAGAUUCCCCCAGUAGCGGCGAGCGAACGGGGAGGAGCCCAGAACCUGAAUCAGCGUAUGUGUUAGUGGAAGCGUCUGGAAAGUCGCACGGUACAGGGUGAUAGUCCCGUACACAAAAAUGCAUAUGUUGUGAGUUCGAUGAGUAGGGCGGGACACGUGACAUCCUGUCUGAAUAUGGGGGGACCAUCCUCCAAGGCUAAAUACUCCUGACUGACCGAUAGUGAACCAGUACCGUGAGGGAAAGGCGAAAAGAACCCCGGCGAGGGGAGUGAAAUAGAACCUGAAACCGUGUACGUACAAGCAGUGGGAGCACCUUCGUGGUGUGACUGCGUACCUUUUGUAUAAUGGGUCAGCGACUUAUAUUUUGUAGCAAGGUUAACCGAAUAGGGGAGCCGUAGGGAAACCGAGUCUUAACUGGGCGAAUAGUUGCAAGGUAUAGACCCGAAACCCGGUGAUCUAGCCAUGGGCAGGUUGAAGGUUGGGUAACACUAACUGGAGGACCGAACCGACUAAUGUUGAAAAAUUAGCGGAUGACUUGUGGCUGGGGGUGAAAGGCCAAUCAAACCGGGAGAUAGCUGGUUCUCCCCGAAAGCUAUUUAGGUAGCGCCUCGUGAACUCAUCUUCGGGGGUAGAGCACUGUUUCGGCUAGGGGGUCAUCCCGACUUACCAAACCGAUGCAAACUCCGAAUACCGAAGAAUGUUAUCACGGGAGACACACGGCGGGUGCUAACGUCCGUCGUGAAGAGGGAAACAACCCAGACCGCCAGCUAAGGUCCCAAAGUCAUGGUUAAGUGGGAAACGAUGUGGGAAGGCAUAGACAGCCAGGAUGUUGGCUUAGAAGCAGCCAUCAUUUAAAGAAAGCGUAAUAGCUCACUGGUCGAGUCGGCCUGCGCGGAAGAUGUAACGGGGCUAAACCAUGCACCGAAGCUGCGGCAGCGACACUUAGGUGUUGUUGGGUAGGGGAGCGUUCUGUAAGCCGUUGAAGGUGACCUGUGAGGGUUGCUGGAGGUAUCAGAAGUGCGAAUGCUGACAUAAGUAACGAUAAUGCGGGUGAAAAACCCGCACGCCGGAAGACCAAGGGUUCCUGUCCAACGUUAAUCGGGGCAGGGUGAGUCGACCCCUAAGGCGAGGCUGAAAAGCGUAGUCGAUGGGAAACAGGUUAAUAUUCCUGUACUUGGUGUUACUGCGAAGGGGGGACGGAGAAGGCUAGGCUAGCCGGGCGACGGUUGUCCCGGUUUAAGCAUGUAGGCGGAGCGACUUGGUAAAUCCGGUUGCUUAUCAACGCUGAGGUGUGAUGACGAGCCACUACGGUGGUGAAGUAGUUGAUGCCAAGCUUCCAGGAAAAGCCUCUAAGCAUCAGGUAACAUUAAAUCGUACCCCAAACCGACACAGGUGGUCAGGUAGAGAAUACUCAGGCGCUUGAGAGAACUCGGGUGAAGGAACUAGGCAAAAUGGUGCCGUAACUUCGGGAGAAGGCACGCUGGCAUUAGGUAAAGGGACUUGCUCCCGGCGCCGAAGCCAGUCGCAGAUACCAGCUGGCUGCAACUGUUUAAUAAAAACACAGCACUGUGCAAACACGAAAGUGGACGUAUACGGUGUGACGCCUGCCCGGUGCUGGAAGGUUAAUUGAUGGGGUCAGCCGCAAGGCGAAGCUCUUGAUCGAAGCCCCAGUAAACGGCGGCCGUAACUAUAACGGUCCUAAGGUAGCGAAAUUCCUUGUCGGGUAAGUUCCGACCUGCACGAAUGGCGUAAUGAUGGCCAGGCUGUCUCCACCCGAGACUCAGUGAAAUUGAACUCGCUGUGAAGAUGCAGUGUACCCGCGGCAAGACGGAAAGACCCCGUGAACCUUUACUAUAGCUUGACACUGAACAUUGAGCCUUGAUGUGUAGGAUAGGUGGGAGGCAUUGAAGUGUGGACGCCAGUCUGCAUGGAGCCAACCUUGAAAUACCACCCUUUAAUGUUUGAUGUUCUAACUCGGCCCCGUGAUCCGGGGUGAGGACAGUGUCUGGUGGGUAGUUUGACUGGGGCGGUCUCCUCCCAAAGAGUAACGGAGGAGCACGAAGGUUAGCUAAUCACGGUCGGACAUCGUGAGGUUAGUGCAAAGGCAUAAGCUAGCUUGACUGCGAGAGUGACGGCUCGAGCAGGUACGAAAGUAGGUCUUAGUGAUCCGGUGGUUCUGAAUGGAAGGGCCAUCGCUCAACGGAUAAAAGGUACUCCGGGGAUAACAGGCUGAUACCGCCCAAGAGUUCAUAUCGACGGCGGUGUUUGGCACCUCGAUGUCGGCUCAUCACAUCCUGGGGCUGAAGUAGGUCCCAAGGGUAUGGCUGUUCGCCAUUUAAAGUGGUACGCGAGCUGGGUUUAGAACGUCGUGAGACAGUUCGGUCCCUAUCUGCCGUGGGCGUUGGAAGAUUGAGAGGGGCUGCUCCUAGUACGAGAGGACCGGAGUGGACGAAUCACUGGUGUUCGGGUUGUCAUGCCAAUGGCAUUGCCCGGUAGCUAAAUUCGGAAGAGAUAACCGCUGAAAGCAUCUAAGCGGGAAACUUGCCUCGAGAUGAGUCUUCCCUGGGGCUUUAAGCUCCCUGAAGGAACGUUAAAGACUAUGACGUUGAUAGGCUGGGUGUGUAAGUGCAGCGAUGCAUUGAGCUAACCAGUACUAAUGAUCCGUGAGGCUUAACCUUAC
rnacentral:rRNA from 1 species